rnacentral:rRNA from 1 species
CAGGCUUAACACAUGCAAGUCGAGGGGCAGCAUGGUCUUAGCUUGCUAAGGCCGAUGGCGACCGGCGCACGGGUGAGUAACGCGUAUCCAACCUGCCUUACACUCUUGGACAGCCUUCUGAAAGGGAGAUUAAUACAAGAUGUUAUCAUGAGUAAGCAUUUUCACAUGAUUAAAGGUUUACCGGUGUAAGAUGGGGAUGCGUUCCAUUAGAUAGUAGGCGGGGUAACGGCCCACCUAGUCUUCGAUGGAUAGGGGUUCUGAGAGGAAGGUCCCCCACAUUGGAACUGAGACACGGUCCAAACUCCUACGGGAGGCAGCAGUGAGGAAUAUUGGUCAAUGGACGAGAGUCUGAACCAGCCAAGUAGCGUGAAGGAUGAAGGUUCUAUGGAUUGUAAACUUCUUUUAUACGGGAAUAAACGAAUCCACGUGUGGAUUUUUGCAUGUACCGUAUGAAUAAGGAUCGGCUAACUCCGUGCCAGCAGCCGCGGUAAUACGGAGGAUCCGAGCGUUAUCCGGAUUUAUUGGGUUUAAAGGGAGCGUAGAUGGGUUGUUAAGUCAGUUGUGAAAGUUUGCGGCUCAACCGUAAAAUUGCAAUUGAUACUGGCAGUCUUGAGUACAGUUGAGGUAGGCGGAAUUCGUGGUGUAGCGGUGAAAUGCUUAGAUAUCACGAAGAACUCCGAUUGCGAAGGCAGCUUACUAACCUGUAACUGACAUUGAUGCUCGAAAGUGUGGGUAUCAAACAGGAUUAGAUACCCUGGUAGUCCACACGGUAAACGAUGAAUACUCGCUGUAGGCGAUAUACAGUCUGCGGCCAAGCGAAAGCAUUAAGUAUUCCACCUGGGGAGUACGCCGGCAACGGUGAAACUCAAAGGAAUUGACGGGGGCCCGCACAAGCGGAGGAACAUGUGGUUUAAUUCGAUGAUACGCGAGGAACCUUACCCGGGCUUAAAUUGCAACCGAAUAUGGCGGAAACGCUAUAGCUAGCAAUAGCGGUUGUGAAGGUGCUGCAUGGUUGUCGUCAGCUCGUGCCGUGAGGUGUCGGCUUAAGUGCCAUAACGAGCGCAACCCUUGCCGAUAGUUACUAACAGGUCAUGCUGAGGACUCUGUCGGGACUGCCAUCGUAAGAUGUGAGGAAGGUGGGGAUGACGUCAAAUCAGCACGGCCCUUACGUCCGGGGCUACACACGUGUUACAAUGGGGGGUACAGAGGGCUGCUACCACGCAAGUGGAUGCCAAUCCCAAAAACCUCUCUCAGUUCGGAUUGAAGUCUGCAACCCGACUUCAUGAAGCUGGAUUCGCUAGUAAUCGCGCAUCAGCCACGGCGCGGUGAAUACGUUCCCGGGCCUUGUACACACCGCCCGUCAAGCCAUGGGAGCCGGGGGUACCUGAAGUGCGUAACCGCAAGGAGCGCCCUAGGGUAAAACUGGUGACUGGGGC